UUCAUGUCCUAAGAGAAAAUUCACCUUCUUAAGUCAACAAAACGAUGUUUUAAAAGCCUGAAGGAGCAAAUCGUCAGUAGCACAUCUAGAACCACACCACCCCGAUGCCACCAGGGUGGCCUGGUGGCCUCAAGCAUGAUGUCAGGUGGAGCUCUCUGCACUUUGCUGGCGGCACAUCUUCGCGGAGAGAAGCACGGGGAGGGUGACAUGUGGUACAGAGCAGGAACGAUGGCUCUGUGCGAUAGCAGCAGACAAAGGUUGCCAUGGCAAGCCUGCUCGGGAGUGGGGAGCAUGAAUGUCAUACAUGAAUACAGCCAGGAGAGUCCUAGGAGGAAGGUGAUCAUCUUGGAAGAUUGUUGCACUUCAUCCUAAAGGGUGUCCUCCAAAAUUUUUUUAUAACAAUGGAAAAUUUGAUGCAACGCAAAUAUCUUAGGUAUUAUUUAUAUAUUUAUAUAGAUUGUGAUGCAUCAUAGAAAAUCAUGGAGUAAUACUUUUUUCAAAGAAUAUUUAAAUAGUGGGAAAUGCUCACAAUAAAAUGAUAAGGAAAGCA